rnacentral:rRNA from 1 species
AGGACGAACGCUGGCGGCGUGCUUAACACAUGCAAGUCGAGCGGAAAGGCCCUUCGGGGUACUCGAGCGGCGAACGGGUGAGUAACACGUGAGCAACCUGCCCUUAGCUCCGGGAUAGCUCCGGGAAACCGGAAUUAAAUACCGGAUACGACCACAGCCGACAUCUGCUGUGGUGGAAAGGAUUCCGGCUAAGGAUGGGCUCGCGGCCUAUCAGCUAGUUGGUGGAGUAACGGCCCACCAAGGCGACGACGGGUA